AGAUUGAACGCUGGCGGCAGGCCUAACGCAUGCAAGUCGAGCGGUAGAGAGGUGCUUGCACCUCUUGAGAGCGGCGGACGGGUGAGUAAUGCCUAGGAAUCUGCCUAGUGGUGGGGGAUAACGUUCGGAAACGGACGCUAAUACCGCAUACGUCCUACGGGAGAAAGCGGGGGACCUUCGGGCCUCGCGCCAUUAGAUGAGCCUGGGUCGGAUUAGCUAGUUGGUGAGGUAAUGGCUCACCAAGGCGACGAUCCGUAACUGGUCUGAGAGGAUGAUCAGUCACACUGGAACUGAGACACGGUCCAGACUCCUACGGGAGCAGCAGUGGGGAAUAUUGGACAAGUGGGGACGAAAAGCC
rnacentral:rRNA from 1 species